rnacentral:rRNA from 1 species
UACGUAGGUGGCGAGCGUUGUCCGGAUUUACUGGGCGUAAAGGGCUUGUAGGCGGUCCGCUAAGUCUGAUGUGAAAUCUGCCGGCUCAACUGGGAGAGGUCAUUGGAUACUGGCGGACUAGAGGGGGGUAGAGGAAAGCAGAAUUCCUGGUGUAGCGGUGAAAUGCGUAGAUAUCAGGAGGAAUACCAGUGGCGAAGGCGGCUUUCUGGGCCUACCCUGACGCUGAGGAGCGAAAGCGUGGGGAGCGAACAGG